rnacentral:rRNA from 1 species
CUCGUAGGUGGUUCGUCACGUCGGAUGUGAAACUCUGGGGCUUAACCCCAGACCUGCAUUCGAUACGGGCGAGCUUGAGUAUGGUAGGGGAGUCUGGAAUUCCUGGUGUAGCGGUGGAAUGCGCAGAUAUCAGGAGGAACACCAAUGGCGAAGGCAGGACUCUGGGCCAUUACUGACACUGAGGAGCGAAGCGUGGGAGCGAACA